UAGGGAAUCUUCGGCAAUGGGGGCAACCCCUGACCGAGCAACGCCGCGUGAGUGAAGAAGGUUUUCGGAUCGUAAAGCUCUGUUGUAAGAGAAGAACGUGUGUGAGAGUGGAAAGUUCACACAGUGACGGUAACUUACCAGAAAGGGACGGCUAACUACGUGCCAGCAGCCGCGGUAAUACGUAGGUCCCGAGCGUUGUCCGGAUUUAUUGGGCGUAAAGCGAGCGCAGGCGGUUUAAUAAGUCUGAAGUUAAAGGCAGUGGCUUAACCAUUGUUCGCUUUGGAAACUGUUAAACUUGAGUGCAGAAGGGGAGAGUGGAAUUCCAUGUGUAGCGGUGAAAUGCGUAGAUAUAUGGAGGAACACCGGUGGCGAAAGCGGCUCUCUGGUCUGUAACUGACGCUGAGGCUCGAAAGCGUGGGGAGCAAACAGGAUUAGAUACCCUGGUAGUCCACGCCGUAAACGAUGAGUGCUAGGUGUUAGGCCCUUUCCGGGGCUUAGUGCCGCAGCUAACGCAUUAAGCACUCCGCCUGGGGAGUACGACCGCAAGGUUG
rnacentral:rRNA from 1 species